CUUACUGGAAGCUUGGCAUCUUGAGCUCUGUUUGCAGGAGUGUAAAUGUUGAGGUAGAGACAGUCUUCUGAAAUGUCUGGGACAUCUGAAAGUACCAAACCGAAGACCUCAAGCAUACCCACAACCAUCUUUGCAUUUUGAAUACACCUGAAAAAGAGACAUUUUUAUCAACAAAUAUUAGACAUAAUUCCUCCAAGUGUGGCAUCCAAACACUGCAGCACAUGUGUCUUACAUGGGUGGCUGCUUGGUGGCGUCUCUCACUCCUUUCCAUCCCUCUACAGGCUGAGGUGGAGCCAGUCUCAGGGAUGGACCUAUGGGUGGCUUGGCAAAUGGGACACCCAGGAAGGCAUGGACUCCGGUCUCUUUGCCCUUUACACUCACAUACUCACCUCUCAGGCUCCCGAGCUUUGUGUGGACUUCAGGUGCUGUCAGGAUAUUACAACUCAGUCAGAAUCACAAAUAAACACAUCCCAAUUCAGUUAUUCAAUGUCACAGUGAGAGAUACUUGUAGUUCCUAAGUGACAAAUGUAAUUCCUCCAAAAAGCCAAUCUUUGAUUUAAAUUUAUACAUUAUGUGGACAUGAAAGUUUCCAAUUGACUGCAGUCAUACAUGUGACAAUAUGCUGAAUUUUAAAAGAUAUCAAAGCCCACAAAGGUUGGAACCCACUGGUUUAACCUUUAACAAUGUGUUGUGUUUAAAUGUUUGUUAUUCUGUCUGUCGUGUGAAAUCCUAUUCUUAAAGGUCUCCUAACUAAAUCCCUAAAAUAAAAGUCAUGGAAUAGAAAGUACAAAACAUUCCUCUAAAGAUGUAAUGCAGUAAAAGUAUAAAAGCAGAAGAAAAUAGAAAUACUCAAAUAAAGUGCCUUUGAGAAUACAGACUGUAUAUGAGUAAGUUGUUGCUGUUGUGGAUCACAUGAUUCAGAGGUCACACAGGAAUGAAGUUCAUCAUAGUGUUACCAAAAUAUCAGCACUGUAUGACAAAAGCAACAUUUCAACUAGCCUGUUAUCUCUCUGUUCACAGGUUGAUUUCUAGCUUCAGACAAAAGUCCAGCAGAAGAAACCCUUUCCAUGCUAAAGGAUGUGUCUGUGGAGCAAACAAGGUGCCCCAUACAUGUGUCUAUGAAAGGUACAAGAGGUUCAGAAUAGGAUGGGAUGAAACGGAAGAGGAACCGAACCUCAACAAGAACAGACUGAAGAUCUGAAUGAACACUGAGCAACCAGGACUGACCAGGAAGUUGGUCAGGACCAUAUUUUUGGAAGAUUUGCAUGAAGUUGGUGCCCAAAUGGUUCUUGCCGUGUGGAGAUGUGUCAAGACGUUUUGAAGCUGCAAGAGGGCAACCCAGUGUAUCUGGACAAAAUCCUUUUGGAUGAGACGUGAGUCUUCCAGUACGUCUCUGAGAUCAAAAGGCAGAGGCUCCAGUGUUCCCCCGACCACAUAAAGGCAGCAUGUCUGUAGAGGCUAAGCUUGAAGCCCCUGAGGUGCUUCACCAGGAUUUAAAUAGUUGACACGCCGACAACUUUACCGCAUCUGAUGAAGAGAGCCGAGAUCAAUGCUUGUGGUUCCAAUAAUCUGCGUUUAUUACUCCAAAUAAGUAUAGUCCAACAGCUUUAAUCUAAACAAACAAUUCAUUGUUACCGGCUUUUCAGUGGCGGCUUCAACGGCGGUCAAAACUGUUUUUUCCUAAUGGGCGGAACACCAAGUACUGCUGCUGUGUCUCUCUGUUAAUGUAAAGGUACAGUACACACUUGUACCGUGUUGAAAAUUAUACAGAAACUUUACUAUUUCCAACCUAUGAUUCAUUAACAGUGCAGUCACAUCGACAUCGAAGGUUUUGAGUGUUGUCUCUGGUGUCUGUGUGUAAAGAAACAAGUUGAUCAUUACUUACCCUGCAGCUCUGCAGCAACGCAGGAAAUUAAAACAGGGAUCAGAAAGCAGAAAGUUUGCUUUGCACACAGCAUUAUGGAUGUCUAGAUGUGGACUUCACAGACGGAGCACACAGUAUAAAAAACGUUGCCUCUUAUAAAGCCUCAGCUUCUUGUAACUUUGACCGAGAUAAAGCUGCAGGUAAGAGGUGAAACAUACAGACGUGACUGUGCAGCUUUUACUCCACAGCAACAGCUGAUCAAGAAAGGAAAUUUCGUGCCCCCUAUCUACCACAUGGUUCACUUAUUCGCAGAUCAGGAGCAAACAGUAGGUCAUCGGUCAACACUUCAGAUCCUGUGACAACACCUCUGUUUCUGAUAGGCUCAAGAGAGAUGUUAUUGAAAUGGUUUAAGCACCUCAGCAAACCUGAAAUCAUUACUACUAACUCUGCACUGCAUUCUGAGGGACACCCAGGAGGUUAAAAAUUCCUCCCCUUUGUCCUGCAAACCCAUUUAUCAGUAAAUAAUUGAAAUGGGAACAAAGAGAGAACCACUGAGUUAAAGAAUGCACUGACAUGAUACUUUUAUUUGUAUCACAUUAGAUUCCUAAAAGAAAAACCUUAAAGACAAUAGAAAUUCCAAUAUAGUAGAAACAUCAAUAAAAAAAUUGACCUGUAUCCUGUUUAUAUUGUCGUUAUGUUUUGGAGAUUUCCUUUAAAAUACCCUCCAUCUAUCCAUCCACCUUACUGUCAUCUUCUCUCUUUUCAGUUUAAGUGCUCUUCACAAUAAAAGAAACCUGAGAAGAACCUUUUUGUCACAUCUCUUUAUUUCAACAACACAGGUGUCCCUGAAGUCUGGACACAGAGGAAAUAUCAUUAACUAUAAUUUUAAGAUCAAGAAUGAAUAUGGCUAUUAUAUUAAAUAUGUAUUUGAUGAAUUAUAAAUAUAUAUUAAAUUCAAUAGAUGACAAUUAAUUAUCUUGAAUAAAAUGUUGUUCAAAAUUAAAUUUCUUGACAAUAUGUACUUUGCCUUUGUGCUCAGAUUUUAGGGCCACCCUGUAGUUUGUAUCACAGUGUAGUACAUCACAGAUGGUCUUUUUAUUAUUGUUGUCCUUUUACAUUGUCAUUGUAGUACACAAUGCAGAAAAAACUUCUGAAAUUUUCAGUUAAUAUCAUUUAACAUUUAAUCAGAGUCUUGUUCAUUCAGCAAAUACUAAAUAUACUAACAAAACAUGAGGCAGGUAAAAUUUCCCUGAAGCUAUCUGGAUUAAAAAUUAUGUUCCUGGAAAAUGUGUUCACCUCUUCUAGAUUUUAACUCCCCAUGACUGUCAUCACACCUUUUCAGCUUCAUUGUCAAAUGAAAAUU